AGGUUGAAGUGAGAGAGAUGAAGACGGAAGUUUGCUGAAUAAACUGCUGUUAGAAGGACUGGUGGUCGUGAACACCAAGCAAGAACGCUGGUUGAGAGCAGACAUGACAGAAGAAUAAGAGAUGAAAUCAGGAAGUGUACUUCUCAGCGAAUGGCUGUGAUUCAGAAUAUUCAAAUCGUUUCCCUUCAGAUUUUGAAAGCUGUUCAAAAAGAAUUCAAAGAGUUCUAAUGACAUCUCAUUGGAAUGCAUAAAGACACCUCAGAGACGUCCUGAAUUCCCUUGAUGUGGUGACGUAACACCAACAUGGCCACUGUGUGGAAGGCUCUGGUGAAAUAUAGGAGCUACAAGAGGAAAAUAAGUACACGGAGCUGGCAGUGCUUGCAUAGUAUAGAGGCGAAUGCAUCAACACAGGUGUUCCUUUGAAGGAUUGCUUUAAAAACCGGUUUCUAUGGUAACCGCAUCCUGUCUAAGACUGAAAAGAAUUAAUGUUGACUUGAAUUGGGCUGUAUCAACUUUCAGACAAUCCACACAGAUUCCAGCAAAUAUACUCUGUGCUAAUAUUCAAGGUUCAAACCUUGUUAUCACCAUUGUGGGAUCUGCCUAAAUAUGUCCUAUCUGAGUUAAUGGGUGGGUGUUUGAGUUAAGAAUGACAACAUCCCACCCACUUUGUUCUACAUGAAGGUCAAACCCAAGUGUGUAAGGAUACACUUCCCUUACACUUACCAACAUGACUUCAGAAAACCAUGGACUUUUGCCUGUCUACAGGCAUAAACUUUUAGCUUUACCUCAGAGUA